GGAGGAAGUAAAAAAGCAGUCAGCAAUCCAGCUUUCCCCUUGAUUUGUUGAUGCCCUUAGACCUGGUCACCGUACCACCCUCUUUCCACAGCUGCACAACUGAUCUGCCAACAGUAAAACGACUAAAGCUCUCCUCUGCAUCAGACACGUCAGACAGUAGGAAGCACACACUACUAGUCACAAGCAACUCAGCUUUGCAACGGCUUUCCCUCAGGUUCAUCUUUACUGUAUCAAUGAAACACAUUUUGAUUAGUCUUGUUCUAGGCAAAGAUCUAUCACCCUAUAACAGGAAAGAACAUCAGCCAUAAUCUGAUCAUCACAGCAUACUACUUUUCUGAAUAUUGGCUAUAGACUUCCUUAAUGAUUUAUGCCCAAAAGCCAAGCAUAAUUUUAACAUAAUUGUCCUCCAAACCCAUACCAAUAUCGCUCUAAUGUGAAAGAAGGAGGCAUCUGGAGAGAGGAAUGGCCAGAUCUUUUUCACGAACACUUUCAAGUCUAUCUUUCCAGCAAUCCAAAACCUAUUUCUUGGCAGGAGGGAGUCUAUGUAAGAUUUUUAUAAAGAGGUAUGAGCCUUGGAAAAGAUAGACUUUCUCAGUUAGUAUCAUUGUGCCACUUCACUUUCUGCAAAGGAAUUGCAUUUCAUGUGGUUCAUACAAGACUUCAUGUCUAUACAGAUUCCUUUCCAAUUAGUUUUCUGACCCUGCAGAGGAAUCAAUCUGAGAAAAAGUUCAAGCAACUUUUAGCUUGGGUACAUGUGAUGCUCAAUCUAAAAUACUUUAUUUCAAAAUCGAUUGUGUGUCUGUAUUAUACGCAUUUAACAAAGAGGGAAACCAGAUGCAGAACACACCCACACCAACUCACUUUUGCAAGUGGUUAGCAAUACCCAAGGACGCAGAAACAACAGCACAAGUUGGGGAUUCUGUUUCUCAAGUUAAGGAAGUUACUGGCUCUUCCCACUGCCUUACACUCUAAGCAAUCAACAACUCCUCACAAACUUAAGAAAUGCAUCCACCCAACGACUGCGGCUAAACAAAGAUAAGCUGGCGAGAAAGAGAAAAACGUAGCCACAUGAGUGGGCUGAGAGAUAAGAAAAGCAAACUGCAGAAAAAGCGAACUAAGUAAGCAGGCUAGAAAAUGAGGAGGCGGGAGGGGGCGGGGUGACUAGCCUGUAAACGGUAUUUUGCAAAAGCCUGAAGCCAGAACCUCCUCCUCCCCCUACCUUCCCGUCGCAGAGGCUCGAUUUCCCUUUCGAGCAAGCUGAGACCGUAAACGUGCAACAGCGGCGCACCAAGCUUGCGGGAAAUUCGUGGCAACAGCCAUCUUUCUCCACCCCGAACAAACGUGGUGUGCGGCCGAGCAUGCUACAUCUUUGGAAAGUGCCCCAUUUCUCUUAUGUUGCUGCAUUUCUGUGAGUCAAGCAUUACGAAUAUGUCAGGAGGUACUGAGUCAACCUGGACAUUAUUUUUGCAAGAAUCUUCAUAGAAACAGCAUGUGCUGUAAUUCUUUUGACUUAACACCUGUGAAUAAUACAAAAGUAUCUCAAACAAGAACAGAUUAGAUGACUUAAUAACAAAUGAUGUUCUUAAGCCAGCUGUUUGUAAGAGGACUCACCAAUUUCUCAGAAGCUGGAAGGCCCUGGCUGGGAAUUAUGGGAGCUUUUAUCAGACAAAUGUAAAAGACACAACUUUUGAAUACUCCAGAAGCAUUUAUCUACAGUGCCCAUCGACCCUGGCUGAAAAUGGUGGAAUCUGUAGCCUAAUACAUCUGAAGCCCUCAGUGGAGGAAGGGUGCUUUUAACAUGUGUAGAAGAUGCUACACAGUUUAAUUCAUCAGCAGACCCUGUUAGAGGAUAUGCUCCUGAAUAAAGCUUCUCCACUUGUUUCCAUGGCAUGAACACAAAGCCACAGCAAUGACAGCGAAGCACAAGAAACUUCCCUCUGCAGUCAUCCACAAACAUGUAUCCCAGACACAGAUCCUCAAGCUUGUUCAAGGAUUUUCUUUCACCUCCAUGUGAUACCCAUUUUCCAGAGGAAUGUGGGGAGAUCUAGGGACUUCCAAACCAGUCAGCUUCUGCCCCAGGCAUGUUGGUGAAAAUGAUCUAAUCAAAGAAAAAAGUAUAUAAGCCUAUAGAGGGACAAAUCUUGUUGAAGGAAAGCCAGCAUGACUUUCUCAAAGGCAAAAGUAAAUCCAUCCUCAUGAAAUUUCUGGAGUUCAGAAUGUUUACAGGGCAUCCUCUACAAAAUGACAGCCUUCUCAGAAAAUGGAUUAAAGAUUUUCCUAAACUGCUGCAUUGAAGAUUCCCGUCUACUU